rnacentral:rRNA from 1 species
CCAGACUCCUACGGGAGGCAGCAGUGGGGAAUCUUCCGCAAUGGGCGCAAGCCUGACGGAGCAACGCCGCGUGAGUGAAGAAGGUCUUCGGAUCGUAAAGCUCUGUUGAUGGGGACGAACGUGCCUAAUGCGAAUAGUAUUAGGCAAUGACGGUACCCAUCGAGGAAGCCACGGCUAACUACGUGCCAGCAGCCGCGGUAAUACGUAGGUGGCGAGCGUUGUCCGGAAUCAUUGGGCGUAAAGGGAGCGCAGGCGGGCAUGUAAGUCUUUCUUAAAAGUGCGGGGCUCAACCCCGUGAUGGGAAAGAAACUAUGUGUCUUGAGUACAGGAGAGGAAAGCGGAAUUCCCAGUGUAGCGGUGAAAUGCGUAGAUAUUGGGAGGAACACCAGUGGCGAAGGCGGCUUUCUGGACUGCAACUGACGCUGAGGCUCGAAAGCCAGGGGAGCGAACGGGAUUAGAUACCCCGGUAGUCCUGGCCGUAAACGAUGGAUACUAGGUGUGGGAGGUAUCGACCCCUACCGUGCCGGAGUUAACGCAAUAAGUAUCCCGCCUGGGGAGUACGGCCGCAAGGCUGAAACUCAAAGGAAUUGACGGGGGCCCGCACAAG